GACGAACGCUGGCGGCGUGCCUAAUACAUGCAAGUCGAGCGAAGUUUUUCUGGUGCUUGCACUAGAAAAACUUAGCGGCGAACGGGUGAGUAACACGUAAAGAACCUGCCUCAUAGACUGGGACAACUAUUGGAAACGAUAGCUAAUACCGGAUAACAGCAUUAACUGCAUGGUUGAUGUUUAAAAGUUGGUUAUGCUAACACUAUGAGAUGGCUUUGCGGUGCAUUAGCUAGUUGGUGGGGUAAAGGCCUACCAAGGCGACGAUGCAUAGCCGACCUGAGAGGGUGAUCGGCCACACUGGGACUGAGACACGGCCCAGACUCCUACGGGAGGCAGCAGUAGGGAAUCUUCCGCAAUGGGCGAAAGCCUGACGGAGCAACGCCGCGUGAGUGAAGAAGGAUUUCGGUUCGUAAAGCUCUGUUGUUAGGGAAGAAUGAUUGUGUAGUAACUAUACACAGUAGAGACGGUACCUAACCAGAAAGCCACGGCUAGCUACGUGCCAGCAGCCGCGGUAAUACGUAGGUGGCAAGCGUUGUCCGGAAUUAUUGGGCGUAAAGCGCGCGCAGGUGGUUUAAUAAGUCUGAUGUGAAAGCCCACGGCUCAACCGUGGAGGGUCAUUGGAAACUGUUAAACUUGAGUGCAGGAGAGAAAAGUGGAAUUCCUAGUGUAGCGGUGAAAUGCGUAGAGAUUAGGAGGAACACCAGUGGCGAAGGCGGCUUUUUGGCCUGUAACUGACACUGAGGCGCGAAAGCGUGGGGAGCAAACAGG
rnacentral:rRNA from 1 species